rnacentral:rRNA from 1 species
UAGGGAAUCUUCGGCAAUGGGGGCAACCCUGACCGAGCAACGCCGCGUGAGUGAAGAAGGUUUUCGGAUCGUAAAACUCUGUUGUUAGAGAAGAACACGAGUGAGAGUAACUGUUCAUUCGAUGACGGUAUCUAACCAGCAAGUCACGGCUAACUACGUGCUAG